rnacentral:rRNA from 1 species
AGCCCAGACCCACAGCUAAGGUCCCCAAGUAUAGUUAAGUGGAAAAGGAUGUGGAAUUGCACAGACAACCAGGAUGUUGGCUUAGAAGCAGCCACUCAUUAAAAGAGUGCGUAAUAGCUCACUGGUCGAGUGACUCUGCGCCGAAAAUUUAACGGGGCUAAACUAUACACCGAAGCUUGGGAUACAUCUAAUGUAUGGUAGGAGAGCGUUCUGUAUGGGGUGAAGUCGUAGCGAAAGCGGCGGUGGACUGUACAGAAGUGAGAAUGCCGGAAUAAGUAGCGAGAAUUAAGUGAGAAUCUUAAUGGCCGAAAGUCUAAGGUUUUUGGAGGAAGGUUCGUCCGCUCCAAGUAAGUCGGGAGCUAAGGUCAGGCCGAAAGGCGUAGCCGAUGCACAUACGGUUGAUAUUCCGUAACCAUCUGUAAUUUAAGCAAAGGGACACUUCAAAAGGGUGUGACCCGGGCGUUGGUUGACCCGGGCGUAAGGGACCGAAAUUAGAGUAGGGAAGCACACUUAGCUGAAGGCGAGAAAAGCUUUGCGUAUAGAAGCAGAUGCCCGUACCGCAAACCGACACAGGUGGACAGGAAGAGAAUUCUAAGGCCAGCGGGAGAAGGGUAGUUAAGGAACUCGGCAAAUUGACUCCGUAACUUCGGAAUAAGGAGUGCUCGAAAGAGCCGCAGAGAAUAGGCCCAGGCGACUGUUUAGCAAAAACACAGGUCUCUGCCAAAUCGAAAGAUGAAGUAUAGGGGCUGACACCUGCCCGGUGCCGGAAGGUUAAGAGGAGGAGUGAGAGCUCCGAAUUGAAGCCCCGGUAAACGGCGGCCGUAACUAUAACGGUCCUAAGGUAGCGAAAUUCCUUGUCGGGUAAGUUCCGACCCGCACGAAUGGUGUAACGAUCUGGGCACUGUCUCAACUACCCACCCGGCGAAAUUGUAGUACCGGUGAAGAUGCCGGUUACCUGCGGCAAGACGGAAAGACCCCAUGGAGCUUUACUGUAGCCUGAUAUUGGGUUUCGGAAAUCUAUGUACAGGAUAGGCGGGAGACUGGGAAACAUGAGCGUCAGCUUGUGUGGAGUCGAUGUUGGGAUACCGCCCUUAGGUUUCUGGAAUUCUAACCUGCGGCCGUGAAUCCGGUCGGGGGACAUUGUCAGGUGGGCAGUUUGACUGGGGCGGUCGCCUCCGAAAAGGUAACGGAGGCGCUCAAAGGUUAGCUCAGCACGGACGGAAACCGUGCCUCUGAGUGUAAACGCAAAAGCUAGCCUAACUGCGAGGGUGACGGCCCGAGCAGUAACGAAAGUUGGAGUUAGUGAUCCGGCGGUAUGUGAAUGGAAAUGCCGUCGCUCAACGGAUAAAAGCUACCCUGGGGAUAACAGGCUGAUCUCCCCCAAGAGUCCACAUCGACGGGGAGGUUUGGCACCUCGAUGUCGGCUCAUCACAUCCUGGGGCUGUAUUCGGUCCCAAGGGUUCGGCUGUUCGCCGAUUAAAGUGGUACGCGAGCUGGGUUCAGAACGUCGCGAGACAGUUCGGUCCCUAUCUGUCGUGGGCGCAGGAUAUUUGAGGAGCUCUGUCCUUAGUACGAGAGGACCGGGAUGGACGUACCUCUGGUGCACCAGUUGUCAUGCCAAUGGCACGGCUGGGCAGCUAUGUACGGAACGGAUAAACGCUGAAAGCAUCUAAGCGUGAAGCCGACUCCAAGAUUAGAUAUCCCAUCGUAUAACGAGUAAGACCCCUUGAAGACUACGAGGUUGAUAGGCUGCGUGUGUAAGUGCCGUGAGGCAUUCAGCUUGGCAGUACUAAUAGGUCGAGGGCUUGACCA